UGGUUGGAUGUUAUAUAUGAAUGGACAGACAUCAUAUAUGAAUGGACAGACGUUAUUUUGUGAAUGGACAGACAUCAUUUUAUGAUGGCUGGAUGUUAUAUAUGAAUGGACAGACACCAUAUAUGAAUGGACAGACAUCAUAUAUGAAUGGACAGACGUUAUUUUGUGAAUGGAUGGACGUUAUAUAUGAAUGGAUGGACAUCAUUUUAUGAUGGCUGGAUGUUAUACAUGAAUGGACAGACGUUAUUUUGUGAAUGGACAGACAUGUAUGAAUGGACAGACGUUAUUUUGUGAAUGGAUGGACGUUAUACAUGAAUGGACAGACAUCAUUUUGUGAAUGGAUGGACGUUAUACAUGAAUGGACAGACGUUAUUUUGUGAAUGGACGGC
rnacentral:lncRNA from 1 species